rnacentral:rRNA from 3 species
AGACCCGAAACCCGGUGAUCUAGCCAUGGGCAGGUUGAAGGUUGGGUAACACUAACUGGAGGACCGAACCGACUAAUGUUGAAAAAUUAGCGGAUGACCUGUGGCUGGGGGUGAAAGGCCAAUCAAACCGGGAGAUAGCUGGUUCUCCCCGAAAGCUAUUUAGGUAGCGCCUCGUGAAUUCAUCUCCGGGGGUAGAGCACUGUUUCGGCUAGGGGGCCAUCCCGGCUUACCAACCCGAUGCAAACUGCGAAUACCGGAGAAUGUUAUCACGGGAGACACACGGCGGGUGCUAACGUCCGUCGUGAAGAGGGAAACAACCCAGACCGCCAGCUAAGGUCCCAAAGUCAUGGUUAAGUGGGAAACGAUGUGGGAAGGCCCAGACAGCCAGGAUGUUGGCUUAGAAGCAGCCAUCAUUUAAAGAAAGCGUAAUAGCUCACUGGUCGAGUCGGCCUGCGCGGAAGAUGUAACGGGGCUAAACCAUGCACCGAAGCUGCGGCAGCGACACUCAGGUGUUGUUGGGUAGGGGAGCGUUCUGUAAGCCUGUGAAGGUGUGUCGUGAGGCAUGCUGGAGGUAUCAGAAGUGCGAAUGCUGACAUAAGUAACGAUAAAGCGGGUGAAAAGCCCGCUCGCCGGAAGACCAAGGGUUCCUGUCCAACGUUAAUCGGGGCAGGGUGAGUCGACCCCUAAGGCGAGGCCGAAAGGCGUAGUCGAUGGGAAACGGGUUAAUAUUCCCGUACUUGGUGUUACUGCGAAGGGGGGACGGAGAAGGCUAUGUUGGCCGGGCGACGGUUGUCCCGGUUUAAGCGUGUAGGUGUGUGUUCCAGGUAAAUCCGGUUCACUUUAACACUGAGGCGUGAUGACGAGGCACUACGGUGCUGAAGCAACAAAUGCCCUGCUUCCAGGAAAAGCCUCUAAGCAUCAGGUAACAUCAAAUCGUACCCCAAACCGACACAGGUGGUCAGGUAGAGAAUACCAAGGCGCUUGAGAGAACUCGGGUGAAGGAACUAGGCAAAAUGGUGCCGUAACU